rnacentral:lncRNA from 1 species
GGGGGGGGGGGAGGAGAAGAGAAGCAGCUUUUCGCUCUAUUCAGCCUGGACGCGGGAGCGCGGACGAUUUCCGCUCCCAUUGUGAGGCGGGGCCCGGGGGCGGCCGUGAAUGGGGGGUCUGCCGAGCGGCCCGCGGGGCUGUCAGGCGGCUCAGCGUAAUCAGGGCUAAUGACGGUGGCCGGGCGCUCCGCGGGACAAUGCGCGGGGCCGCGGGGUUUUGUCGGCCUGAAUGGCUAAUAGGUUCGCCUGGGGGUGCGAGGGGGGCGGUGUCGGGGAAGAGGCGGCGGCGAGGGGAAAAGGGGUCAUUGUUCGCGCACCGGCCCGGGCGCCGAGGCGCGUCCCUCUCCCCGCGCGGCGGCCCCCGGGCCGGGAGCGGCCGACUGGAAGGCCGCGGCCGGGAGGCCCCCUGGAGGCCUGCUGCGACAGGGCGGCGGGAACGGCGGGUGCGUGGGUUCCGCGUACGGGAGGCAGCCCCGACACAACUCUGUUCCCCGGAGACGCCCAGAGGCUUUUAACUCUGCCUGGGGCUGCUUGUCAUCUAUUUGAAGCUCUCCAAAGGGACCUUAGCCCAUUCUGCAAUUCCGGAUAACCCGAAAUUUCUGUGAAGGAGGAAGAAACAGCCCUGCCCCUGGAAGAGGUGAUAGAGGUACAGCGCAUCAAUCAUCUCCUACUCCGUCUGCAACUGACCGUCAGCACUGGCCACCAGUGAGAUUUGGGCUUUUCUGCUGAGCAAUACUUCAGGAACUCUGACACCAAUGGUAGAAAGAAAUGGCAGCUCUUCUCAUAAGGUAGGCAUGAAAGAGUGCCUGGGACCAAUUUAUCUUCUUUUGUUUCACCCUUUUCA